GCGCCCGUAGCUCAGUUGGAUAGAGCAUCGGCCUUCUAAGCUGAUCCACGCAAAUUUCAAUUUUUCAACGGCGUU
rnacentral:tRNA from 2 species